UCCCGGGUCGUCUAAGGGCAGGACAACAGGCUUUGGACCUGUGAAUGGUGGUUCGAAUCCACCCCCGGGAACCA
rnacentral:tRNA from 2 species